rnacentral:rRNA from 1 species
UACGUAGGGGGCAAGCGUUGUCCGGAUUUAUUGGGCGUAAAGAGCGUGUAGGCGGCCAUACAGGUCCGUUGUGAAAACUGGAGGCUUAACCUCCAGACGUCGAUGGAAACCGUAUGGCUAGAGUCCGGAAGAGGAGAGUGGAAUUCCUGGUGUAGCGGUGAAAUGCGCAGAUAUCAGGAAGAACACCCGUGGCGAAGGCGGCUCUCUGGGACGGUACUGGCGCUGAGACGCGAAAGCGUGGGGAGCGAACAGG